rnacentral:rRNA from 1 species
UACAGAGGGUGCGAGCGUUGUCCGGAAUCACUGGGCGUAAAGGGCGCGUAGGCGGCUGGGUAAGCGCGUGGUGAAAGUCCGGGGCUCAACCCCGGAUCGGCCAUGCGAACUGUCCAGCUGGAGCACGGUAGAGGCACAUGGAAUUCCGGGUGUAGCGGUGAAAUGCGCAGAUAUCAGGAGGAACACCGGUGGCGAAGGCGGAGCUCUGGGCCAUUACUGACGCUGAGGAGCGAAAGCGUGGGGAGCGAACAGG